rnacentral:misc_RNA from 1 species
GAUGAAGAACGUAGCAAAAUGCGAUAAGUAAUGUGAAUUGCAGAAUUCAGUGAAUCAUCGAAUCUUCGAACGCACAUUGCGCCCGCUGGUAUUCCGGCGGGCAUGCCUGUUCGAGCGUCAUUUCAACCCUCAAGCCCCCGGGUUUGGUGUUGGGGAUCGGCUCUGCCCUUCUGGGCGGUGCCGCCCCCGAAAUACAUUGGCGGUCUCGCUGCAGCCUCCAUUGCGUAGUAGCUAACACCUCGCAACUGGAACGCGGCGCGGCCAUGCCGUAAAACCCCAACUUCUGAAUGUUGACCUCGGAUCAGGUAGGAAUACCCGCUGAACUUAAGCAUAUCAAUAAGCGGAGGA